rnacentral:rRNA from 1 species
CCUACGGGAGGCAGCAGUGGGGAAUAUUGCACAAUGGGCGCAAGCCUGAUGCAGCCAUGCCGCGUGUGUGAAGAAGGCCUUCGGGUUGUAAAGCACUUUCAGCGGGGAGGAAGGCGUUCAGGUUAAUAACCUUGGCGAUUGACGUUACCCGACGAAGAAGCACCGGCUAACUCCGUGCCAGCAGCCGCGGUAAUACGGAGGGUGCAAGCGUUAAUCGGAAUUACUGGGCGUAAAGCGCACGCAGGCGGUCUGUCAAGUCGGAUGUGAAAUCCCCGGGCUCAACCUGGGAACUGCAUUCGAAACUGGCAGGCUAGAGUCUUGUAGAGGAGGGUAGAAUUCCAGGUGUAGCGGUGAAAUGCGUAGAGAUCUGGAGGAAUACCGGUGGCGAAGGCGGCCCCCUGGACAAAGACUGACGCUCAGGUGCGAAAGCGUGGGGAGCAAACAGGAUUAGAUACCCGAGUAGUC